CAAAAAUCGAUAAUAAUUUUAUUUUCGUCGGUUGUUAGUUCCCGUGCGCUAAGCAAAUAGCCCGUAUUCGUGUGUAGAAAUAUCGAACAAACAAAUUGACAUUCACCAAUACACAUUCAGCACACAUUUUUUCUGCGUUGAGAUUUUGGGCUGAGUAUUCACAUCAAGCCAUAUCAAAGGCAAUUUUUCGUGGAUUUGUUCCACAUCAAACGCUAUUCACAAACAGAAAUUGUUGAGCGUAUCUGCGAUUUCAACAAACGUGAUGAUAUUCAAAUAACUUUUACUUGGGAAUGAUAUAAGAUUGGUGGGCUCCCCAAUAAAUUCCAAUCGAGUGACUUUCAAAGGUGAUACACCACCAAAUUGUACGCAAAAUUUACGCUUGAUAAUUAAACUGAUAGCCAACUAGUAAACAAUAAACAAAACAAACGAUUGUUUUACCCGAAAUUUGUAAAUUUUUUGUGUUCAGAAAUUCCAAUUGGGUUUGACUGCGACGAGUGCUAUGGAUAUACGCGUCUCUAUCACACGAUCGAAUUGUAUACUGAACAAGUGGUCGAAGUUGAACGUCGUUUAAGGUAAAAAAAAACCAGAGAGAUGGGAAUCAAAUACAUGUACGAAUGAGAAUAUGUGUGCUGUGUAUAUGCUCAACAUGUGUACGAUACGUACAUGUGAAAUUAAUGAAAUCAAAGAAACCUACAGUGUCGAUUCAUACAGCCAAGCCAUUCAAAAUAUGACCGCGAUGAGUAUAGUUUUGAAACCACACGAAACAAAAAGCGGGCGAACGAACGUACACAGAAACGUGCUCAUCGAUGUGUGCGUGUUUUAUUUAUCAUUCAUUUCAUUUUACCUUUCGUUAGUUUGAGCGCGCGGUUCACCUAUAGAGGAAAAAAAAAUACUGUUUUGCGCUUGUUUGUAUGUUACCAUGACAAAGUCGGUGUAUUGGCUUUUCGUUCGUAUCGCUAGUAGUCACUUUCAAGCCAAACACUCCACGCCACAUUUUUCGUUCCUUCACUUGCAUUCGUGUUCAGCAUUUUGUGUUACACAAUUUGUAUACACGUUUAAACGAUUUCUACAUUUUUUCCUCUCUCUCUCUCUGUCUCUUGUUUUCUUUGUGUCGCUUUUGUUAUUGCGAUGUGACCGAUGCAUAUUUCUACAAAUGUAUAGCAAAAUGUUUUUCAUGUAUAGGUUAAGGUGUGUACACCGUGUAUUUGCCUGUGCAUAACGUGAGCUUACUGCGAUCCAUUUUGGCGGUAGCCAUUAAUUCGAGUGGAAUGAAGAAGAAAAUAUGACGAAAUUUUGAGAUGAAACCGAAUUUUUUUGUCACAUUCUAUCAAACAUUAAUUGAAACCGAAUCUAUUUCUUUGUCAAAAUUCAAAAAUUCAUCAUAACUUAAUCUGCAGUCGGAAUAUGAAUCAGAAACAAAGUUGAAUAGACACGAAGCGGUAGCUUGAAUUCAAAAUUCACUGGAAAUAUUGCAUUUAAUUCCAUUAGUUGGUUCAAUUAUAUUGCCAGGAAUGCUGACAUACGUCUGAUAUCGGCUAGUUUUGCUUCGAUUACUUGAUUGGCAUUAAGCUAGCCCAAAUUAUAAACAAUAAAGCAACGAAGCAACACGUCCAUUAAAUCAACUUCAUUUAAACCUUUCUGAAAUGAGGAAUUCAAGCUAAGAACUAUUCAUUAGGACUUAAAUGGAAAACUGUGAUGGAAUAAAUAAAACAUAAUCUAGGUACCAAAAAAUACAGCUGCCAUGCUGUAUCAAAUCUCAACUAUACCAUCGAAGACCAGAUGAAAAAUUGUUUAACUGUGCCCAUUGCCAGAGCUGUACCUCCCCAAUCACCAUGAAUCCACCGGCACAAGUUUCCCCAAAGUUCACAUGUUGGAUGUUCUGAAUGACGAUUGCAUUCAGUCAAUCUUCCUUCAAAUGGAAAACUUGCAAGAUUUCCGGAGUGCAGUUCAAACCUGUACUCGAUUCCAGGAAAAUGCGGAGCUCACAUUUCGGACGCAUUCAGAUUGGCCACUUAUUCGAUGAUCCAUCACAUAUGAUGAACAAACAGUUACUGUAGAUCGAGUGCACACUGCACAGUCUCCUCAGCAAAGGUUUGCAAUAUUAGAAAAGUGUUCGUCGACAUAUGCGUUGAAUGGACUUGAUUGUAUUGAAAUCUUGCCAAGAGUGCAGCACUUGUGUGUAAAUGAAAUACUGAAUUUGGAUGAAUAACGAAUAAAUUGGCUCAAAGAAGAA